CACGUAGGGUGCGAGCGUUGUCCGGAAUUAUUGGACGUAAAGAGCUCGUAGGCGGUGUGUCGCGUCGGCCGUGAAAACCUGCAGCUUAACUGUGGGCGUGCGGUCGAUACGGGCAUCACUGGAGUUCGGCAGGGGAGACUGGAAUUCCUGGUGUAGCGGUGAAAUGCGCAGAUAUCAGGAGGAACACCGGUGGCGAAGGCGGGUCUCUGGGCCGAUACUGACGCUGAGGAGCGAAAGCGUGGGGAGCAAACAGG
rnacentral:rRNA from 1 species